rnacentral:rRNA from 1 species
GAUGAACGCUGGCGGCGUGCCUAAUACAUGCAAGUCGAGCGAACGGACGAGAAGCUUGUUUCUCUGAUGUUAGCGGCGGACGGGUGAGUAACACGUGGAUAACCUACCUAUAAGACUGGGAUAACUUCGGGAAACCGGAGCUAAUACCGGAUGAUAUUUUGAACCGCAUGGUUCAAAAGUGAAAGACGGUCUUGCUGUCACUUAUAGAUGGAGCCGCGCUGCAUUAGCUAGUUGGUAAGGUAACGGCUUACCAAGGCAACGAUGCAUAGCCGACCUGAGAGGGUGAUCGGCCACACUGGAACUGAGACACGGUCCAGACUCCUACGGGAGGCGGCAGUAGGGAAUCUUCCGCAAUGGGCGAAAGCCUGACGGAGCAACGCCGCGUGAGUGAGGAAGGUCUUCGGAUCGUAAAACUCUGUUAUUAGGGAAGAACAUAUGUGUAAGUAACUGUGCACAUCUUGACGGUACCUAAUCAGAAAGCCACGGCUAACUACGUG